AGAGAGAGCUAGAGAUUUCACUAUGAAAUAAUAGAGAUUAAAAGAUACAAGGUGUCUUCAACCUCACAACCUUAUGCCUCUUACACCCAUAACACAAUAGAACGCACAAGGAUUACAACUCAAAAAUAUCUCCUUUGUCUAGAGCCUAAAACCCACUAUAAUACAUAGAAAUUAUAACUUUGGGGGUUUUCCUUCUUCUAGGGUUACUAGAACAUGUUUUCCGAGUUUUAGAAUGUUAUUUGUAGUAUUUAGGAGUUCAAAAGUCGUGACUUAAAUCACCAAGUCAGUGCCCUCUAUUCAAAUAAAGAAUCGGAUUAUUUGCAUUAAAUCAACAUUCCGAUUAUUCAAGUAAUAAAGAACAUUAUUCGAAUACAUCUUCCAUAGCAAAGUGUUGCAUAUGAUAUUUGAUAAAAUUAACAGUAUUCGGAUAUGAUUUCUAGCAAGCACCAAAUAACUCUGGCAAAAAACAAUACAUACUUUUCAACAAAUUAUUAUAGUCUCUCAUUUUAUAACUAGCUAAAUGUUCGUGCUUUUGCA
rnacentral:misc_RNA from 1 species